rnacentral:lncRNA from 11 species
GGAAGAUUAUUUUGUACCCAGAAAAAGCCUCAUAGUAAUACUGAAAGAAAAUGCAUUCACAGAAAAGAAAGAUGACUCUGGGCAACAUCUCAAGUUGCAUUUCAAAGACACAGGUGUAUGUCAGACCUGCACACCCUGCUCGUGUUUGCAAAUGUUAUAUGCUGGUGAGACUCGUGAAGCAGACUCCCGCUUGAGGAAAGGAAGGUAAAUUCUAACACAUGAAGAGAAAAUAGGAUGGAAAGUGGAAAACCAAACAUGUAAGUGCAAGAGAUACUUGUAGCCUUC